rnacentral:lncRNA from 1 species
CAAGAGCAUGUUUUGAUAUAUCCUACCGACCGGCUCUAGAACAAGUGACAAAGGGCUUGGUGGUUGGUAUCCGAGACCUAAGUUCGAAUCCUAGUUGAUUCACAUUUCUAGCUAAGUUUAUUUCUAAAUGAAAUAAAUGAAGCGGGUAGCGUGCUACUUAUCCCUCAAAAAAAAAAAAAAAAAAGCUCUCAGCAUCCUCCUGCAUUUGCAUCAAAUUGUUUCUGUUGAUACUUAAUUUAACCUUCUUUGUUUUGGUUAACUGGGUUGGUUUACAUGAUCUCUUCUUUGCAAUGUCACGUAAUUUUUCUUUCCUGGAAUAUUAUUAUUUUCUACUGCCAUAAACUAAUUCCCUGCAAUAUCUUGUUGUUAGCAAGUUUCAUCUUCUUCAUUACUUGCUUUUGCUAGCCCACUUAUGACUUCUCUCCCUGGUUUAGUCAUGGCAUGUGUUCUCUUAGUACAGAUGCUAUGUUCUCUCUGCAUAUUCUUCUCAAUUUUUAAUAUUCGUCGAAUUUCUCACAUUUUCGAUGAAGAAGCACGCAUCUGAAUCGACAAUCAACACCGUUUGAUAUGAUAUACGAUAUUGAAAUUUUCUUAUCCGGUGAUUAAGUGAUCUAAAAUAUACCUUAUAUUUGCUGUUCAAAAUUAAUAAUUUUGUGAUCGUUUGAUUUUUAGAAAGUUCAUGUACCGUAAAUCAUGCUUAACGGUGUCAACUAUCGAUUCAAAUGUUCUAUUAUCGAAAACAAUAUGGAGAAUUGAAGGGUUGAUACUCAUUUUUUAAUUUUUUUUAAAAAUAUAAUUUCUAAAAGAAAUAGAGUAGGAAGGGAAGGUGAAUUGCUCACAAUUCUUACCUCCAAAAGGUUUGUCUGACAAUAAAAAAUAAAAUCCUGGAAAGCCGGAAGCAACUUUUUUUUUUUGCUUUUAUUUUUUUAAGAAAAAAUGUUAUCCAUCACAUGACUGAAGUGUCUCGCAAACUAAUAAACUAUAACAAUAAAAAGAUAGUUCUUCUUCCAUUCUAUCAAAUUACGCCGAAGUAGUGUGUUUUUUUUUUUUUUUGAGAGAGAUAGCCAGAUAGGUAGCACGCUACCUGUUUCGUUUAUUUCAUUUAGAAAUAAACUUAGCUGAAAAUAUGAAGCAAUUAGGAUUCGAACUUUGGACCUCGGGUACCAACCAAAGAUCAAUGGCAACAUUGCCUGAGCAUUUCUAAUUUUUCAUACAAUUUGCGACAUUUUCAAUUUCAUAACCUUUGAGAACAAAAACUUGUAGUUAGAACUUAGAACCCCACCUCAAUUCCAACUUCCAAGUGAGAGCAGGCCCAACCGGGCCGGGCCCGGGCGCAACGGCUAAGGUUUAGUUUAUUGGAUUGGGCUAGAGUUCUGGCCCGACCCGUUUGUGAUUAACCCUACUAUCAUAGAUCCUAUUAUCUGAAUUACAGUGAUGAUAAGUAUGAAAUUGAUUUUGCAGAAGUGGCACUAGCGCUUGUUUUUCUUUACAUUCACUUUUAGUAGGCAUGCUAAGCAAAUAAAUAUAUCUGGAGCGCUGGCAACGGUGGUGAGCUGAAAUAAACUUCUGCGUCUUAAAAAUAGAAACAACAAUUUGGAGCUGCUUCUAACUUUACUGUAGACGAAAGCCGUUGAUAAAAUUUCAUCUUAGUGCUCUUCUAAUAGUAUCGUCUAAAAUCUAAAUAGCACUUAAUUAGACGGCGCAGAUGGAUUGUAAUCCAAAAUCUUUCACCAAAAGAGGGUAUUUCAUGCAAUUUGACUCUCAAGUGAUCUUAUUAAAUUACAAAAAACAACAAAAGAAAUCAAGGGCAAUCUAAUUAUCAAUGAUAACUAUCUCUAUCAAAUAUAAAGAUCUAAGGAAAAGUACAAAGCAGGAUUUAAAAGUACAUUCUAAUCAUUAAUUAAUUAUUAUAGAAGUUGCAAAUAUAUAUAUAUAUACUAUAUCUAUAGUAUAUAUAGAGUCGGUUAUGGUGCUUGUAAAGUACAAGUAUUUGGUGCUUGUAAAUUUUUACCGUUAGAUUUACGCCUUUGAUCGUUUUCACCGUUAGAUUAUACUAUUCAACCAACCACCCACUUAACCCUAGGAGCCCACAUCAUCUUAACUGCACAUUCCUUAAUCCAAGGGCUAAAAACUUACAAUAGGAGCUCAAUUAUAUAUAUAUAUAUAUAUAUAUAUAUUAUAAAUAUAUAUAUAUAUAUAUAUAUAUAGAGUCGGCUACUAUAUUAUCUAUAGUACGGAGCUCCCCUAUGACUAUAGUGAUGUUUUCGCAUCUAUCGGCAUUCAGAAUCAACGAUCCACACCGUUAAAACUGAUCUAGGGUAUUUAAAGUUUUUAGAAAUAAAAUUUUAUAUUUUUUCGACAUCGUUUACUUUAUGAUCAAAAUAUUUUAAAAUUGUCAAUUUUCAAUGGCUAUUAUGACGAGUUUGGAGUUUAACGGUGUAGAAGAAUCUAAAUUUCUUCAAAUUUUGAUAGAAAAUACUUUAAACUAUAUAGAUUAAGGUUAACAUUCUUGAUCUUGAAUUUAAAAGUUCUAUACUUAAAUUUUAAAGAGUAUUCAAUUCCCACCGUCCAUUUUGACAUAAUUUAUUUACUAAGUAAACGAUAUCGAAAAAAACUAAAAUUUUAUUCCUAAAAACUUCAUAUACCUUAAAUCAUAUUUAACGGUCUCGAUCGUUGAUUUGAAUGCCCUAAGAUCGAAAACAACACUAUAGUAUGGGAGCUCCCGUACUAUAGAUAGUAUAGUAGCCUAAUUCUAUAUAUAUAUAUAUAUAUAUAGUUUUAUUAGAUUUGCGUGACAAGAGCUGUACGGCAAAUGUGAGACCUAUUCAUAUCUUUGUUCAAGAAACAUAGAAACACAUGUCACAAAGUUAAUUAUAUAAAUUUAUAUAAAUAAGUAAGUUGGUUCAUAUAUGUAAUUAAGACAAAUUUCUUGUUUAAUUACACCUCAAAUAUGUCAUUAAAAAACAAACUAGAUCAGUAAAGUAAACGAAGGAAUUAAUCGCCAAUUUAAUUCCUUGAACACAAUCUCUUCUUCAUCAAAUUCUUUUAUUUUCAUUAUUUCUUGAUUAAAUGGAUUCCUCAUUCUUCAAGGUUGAUCACUAAUGUGCAUUUGUUUCCUAUUGGAUCCAGCUUUGUUAGCUAAACUCUUUUUAGUAUACGUUACUUGUGUACACAAAUCUAAGCAUGUAGAACUAAAAUUAAUGCACCUCAUUGUCAACAUUACCAAUCCAUUUCAUAUAUACACUACCGGCUAUUUAAAAGAACUUAGCUAAGAUGUUCUUUGUUCAUUAAUUAAAAGAACUUAACUAAGUUGUUCUUAAUUUGUUCAUUUAAUUUUCAUUUAAUGAGUACUUCUAGAUAUAAAAAACAACGUAUACUUUAAUUUGACUUAUCAUUUUUUAAAAAUAUUUCUGAUCAGUCGUAAGCUUUGCUAAUUUGAUUGGCCAUAAUUUGAUGAAAUGUUGUUUCAGAAGUGCUGUUGGAAGAAAUAAAAUGUAAAAUUUUUCUCUACAACUUUUGUUUUUUUGGCAAAAACAAACCUCCAAAUGGACCAAGCCAAAGCCUCCAUUUUAAAGCCAUAGAAUCAAAUUUCUAUUUUUUAUCACAGCAAAAAAUUUAGAUUUUUUAUAAGACAGAACAAGCAUUAAAUUGGUGUAAUUAAGUAAAAGGUACAAAUGUGGGACAAUUUCCCUCCACAUCUGCUAAGGCCUACUUUGAUACUACAAAUAACUAAAUAUACAUGCUUUCAAAUUUUAGAAUGCUAAGAAAAUAUCAAAACUGCUUACAAUCUUUUUUUUUUUUCUAACACUACAAAAAAUUACAAUGCACUACCAUCAUCGAAGUAUUAUACAAUCGCAACUUUAUAUUGUUGAAAGAGGAAAGAUAAAAAGCACUUUUAGGCCUUGUUUGGAUGCGCAGUAAAAAAAUUUCGUGGAGUUUAAAUAUCAUGAUUUUGCUCUAGCUAGCUAAAAUAGAAAAUUUUGUAAUUGAAAAAAAAUUUAUGAUCACUUUAAUUUUUAAACUGUUUGGAUUCACAUCGUACGAUUUCAUUGGAUUUAUGCAAAUUGAAAUUUGAAAAUUAAAAAUUGAAAAUUAAUUUUAGAUUUUAAAUUUUAGAACUUGCAUGAUACAGCGUUUGGUGUAAGGGAGCUCAAGAAUGAUGGAAUUUUCUUUCUUUGGUUAAAGUGGAUUGUAGUUUACUCUAUUUUUCGAAGUAUUAUUUAACUAUACUUUAAAAAUUAUGUUAUUUUUUUCUCCCAAACAUUUCACAGGAUAAUUUUUCUGCCGGUUUAGUAUAGUUUAACUAUACUAUAUUUUUAGAGGCAUUCAAACAUGGUCUUAAACUUUUUUUUUUUUUCUACCGGUAGAGUAAAGUUUAACUAUACUAUACUUUUAGAGGCAUUCAAACGCGGUCUUAAUCUUCUUUUUUUUUGAGAGAGAGAGAUAGAUAGUAUGCUAUCCGCUUCGUAUAUUUCAUUUAGAAAUAAACUUAGUUAGAAAUGUGAAUCAACUAGAAUUCAAACUUGGGACUUCAGAUACCAACCACUAAGUCCUUUGUCAAUUGCGCUAGGGACGGUCCGUAUGGUCUUAAUCUUAAUAUAUAUUGUCGGCUAGCUACUACAUACUAAAAGUAAAUAAAAUAAAAAGAAAAAAAAAAAAAGAUGAUACAAAAUGACAAUAUAGUAGUGAUGAGAGAUGGGGCCAAGUAAUCAAAUUGUGUGAUCCAACAACUGGGGGAGAUCCAUGAAUAAAACAGCGUUGGGAAUCGAAAAGAGAGGUCAAAGAAAGGAAAGUGGCCUUUCGCUGCGGGCAAACGGCUUGUCGGGGAAGCGGGGGGUGGUGCAGAAAUUGGAAAUAAUUUUAGGGGCUGCAUUUGCAUGCAUUUUUGCAUGGCUACAAUGGCUCGUCCCACCCACCGCGUACGGCCUUCUCUCAAAUUAAUAUUGACCCUUGCAGUGACCGAGAAGGUGCCGACUACUGACCGUCCAUAGCGCAAGUGGCAAAGUUAUACUUGAUGAUUGGUAUCCGAAAUUCCAAGUUCGAAUUCUAAUUGAUUCAUAUUUUUAGCUAAAUUUAUUUCUAAAAAAAAUAAACGAAGCAGAUAGUAUGCUACCUUUCUCUUCCAAAAAAAAGAAAAGAAAAGAAAAGUGCCGACUAAAAGGGACCGGCAGAAGAAUUAUCGAGCAUAUCUCAAAUCCAUACACGCCACACGAGGACAGUGAAAAUAGGAUCGAGAGAGUAAUCCAGCAUAUUUCAAAUCCACACACCACAUGAGCACGGCGAAAAUAAAAUCUUCCGUGAAUGAAAAUAAACGAGAACGAUCGUAGAAAACAAGUACGAUAAUAAUAAAAUAAUAAUACGGUCGAAUACAAAAACACAGAAUUUAUGUGAUUCGGCUAGCAAUAUAUCAACCUACAUACGUACGUCCAUGGGUAAAAUCAUCUCUCUUCCAUUAAUUCAUGACACAAAAAUAUAAAAAAUAAAAUCAGAUUAUAAGAAACUCUCUUCUAAAAGCUCUUCGCGUUUUACUUUUAACUAAGGCAUUUAUAAUGAAGCUUUAAACUCUAAAAGAUGAAUUACAAGAGUUUAUAGCCCUUAAACUCCAAUUCUAGUAUAAACGCUCGCCUCCGCCUAUCCGAGUUUCUAAUUCGCUUUUAGUUGUCAUUCUCCUAGCUAAAAAAUUCUCUCCAGAAUGUUUCUAAACUAUUCGUAAUCUUUAAAAAAUAAGAUUAGAUUAAAUUGGAGUCAAAUCCAAUAUAUCCAGCCCAUCACGUCACUCCGGUAUGGAAUACUUGGGAGUACGGGCACUGAAACUUUUCUAAAAUUUCAGUACUAGUACUCAUAGUCACAUAUCGAUACACGAUACAAAAAAUAGUUUUUCAUAACUUCGAAUUCUAAGGUACUCUUCAGUAUUGAUAUUAAAACUUCAAGUUUCGACACUAGGCAUCCAGAAAUCUUAAAUUUUUGACUUUUUCACCAUAUAAUAUCGACUCAAAAUAUAGCUAUACAUAAUCCAACACUUUAAGUGUCAUCUAACGCUAUUAUACAGAAAAAAUAAAUAAAUAAUCAAAACAAAAUCAUGUAAGACAUGAAUGCUACGGUACCAAAGUGUGGUUUUUUUUUUUUGCGUAAUCGGAAAGGUAGAAGUUUGAUUUUUGCUCCUUAAAAGUCUUGACGUUCAUGACUUUGUGUAAUAAUAUUUUUUUUCUAUAAAGUAAUUUAGUUUAUUUUGAAAAAAAUGACUUACAGGCCGAAUACUUUUCUCUUAUAAGCAUUUGACCAUAUUUCACGAUUUGUUUUAUCACAUUAUGCACCGAUUUAUUAGAUAUUUAUCAUGGAUGUGAGUAAUAGUAUUAAGGCUAUUUUCGAGCCUUAUAUGUUGAACAACCUAUGCAUUUACAAAGUCAUACUAGUAUGUACGGUUUACACGUCAAUUUGCAAUUCUUCGCAAAAAUAAGCAAAAUAUUUUUCUAUUGCACUUUCCUUUCGCGCCUUACGUACUUUUCGCAACUUGUUUUGGCCUCUUAGUCCUUUUUUUCUCUUUUAUUUGCAUUUACUUAUAUUUGAUAGUUGAGAAAUCCAAAAUAUCUGCUAUAAUUAAAAAGAAAUUAAAAAUGACAGUUAAUGCUCAAAGACAAAUUAAUAUUUAAAAUUUGGAGCUUCUAAUCUUUUUUGCAUAGAUGAUGAGAAGCUGUUGGGAAGAAUCUAACAUAUAAUGCUUCUCAAUCCUACUUCUAAAAGAGCACUUUAUGGAAUAUCAGGAGCAAUCAAACAAUUGUAUGAAUUGUACACCAAUCAAAUUUUGACCAUAUAACUUCAAAACUUUUAUAUAAUACUAUUAUUAUUAUUAUUAUUAUUAUUAUUAUUAUACUUUAAUCACUAAAAUAUCUUUAAUUAGUUUCUAUGUUAUAUUGUUAUCUCUCUAAUAUGUAUGGUGUGGAUAGUACAGAGGUACAUCCUGAUGAGUCUUGUGAGGCCACGUGUACACAUAUAUGACUGUUGUAGAAAAUUUCGAUUUUCUUUUUCAUUUUAGUUUUUGUGAUGGCAAUCUAAUGGGCAUUGCUGUCGUAAACGUCGUACAUUCUAAACUCUAAACCCUAAAUAAGAAAACAAAAUAGCUAUGACGAUCAAAUGCAGGCCCAUUUUUUUGAUCUGUAGUGCCACAAAAACCACCCAAAUUCCGACCAUUGAGAUCAUCCCCCGUGAGUUGAUUAAGACUUCCAAAUUCACACCCCUGCAAGAACUUCACUAAGGGGCAGUUUGGUUCGAAAUAAUUAUAAAUACAGAAUAGGUAGAUAUAUAUAUAUAUAUAUUAAAAAUAUAGUAAUUAUUAUUAUAUAUAUUUUUUAUUUGGUUGAAUGUAGCAGAAAAUAUUAUAAAUGUUUUGUUUGGUUCCAUAGGAUUGAGAAAUAUAUUUACAAAGUUUUAUCAUUUUAUCUUAUACAUGGAUGGCGAGGCGAGAUUACCCCCUACAUAAGGAAGAAGAAAAAAAAUCUUUUAAAAGAUUAUUAGAAAUGUAAAUUUAUUUUUGUUUAAAGUUACUUUUUUCAAAUACUGCAAUUAGAACUACUAUCAAUUUGAGUGUUCCGACUGCUAUAGUUGAAUCUCUUUGUGCAGUUGCAUUAAGAUACAGCAGAAUAAAUAAUAAAUUUAAAUUUAUAUGUAACUACAACUAUAAUAUAGGUACAAUAUUUAUGUGUAACCCAAAAACUCUAAAAUAGCACCAGAAAUUAGUGCAUCACAUGAAAAUUAAUGGUCUUUGCCCAUGGACUGUUUGCCAUUUUUGUCCCCAUGGACACAAUGAUCUUUUUGGCGAUUGGACCUAAUACCAACAUUCAAUCAAAUAACUAAAAAAGAAAAAAAAAAACCCAAAAGAAAUUUAGAAAGAAAGAAGCCAAAAAUGAAAAUGUGGCAGUGACACGGUAUGGUGCUCCUAACCAACCAAAUUGUAUUCCUAAGUUUCAUCUUUUCUAUCAUUCUAAUCAUAUAUUUUUUCAUCCAAUAUAUAUAGAACUAGGUUGGAAUGCUAUUAAUAGCACCAAAUUAUUGGUGCUAUUAGAUUUUCGGCCAUUGGAUGAAGAAAUGUACCGUUAGAAUGAUGUUGGCCCCUCAGAGUAGAGUGAGUUAUUGGUUUAAUAGUAUAAUCUAACGGAUAAAAAUAAUCAAAAGGUUAAAUCAAAUGGCGAAAAACUCAAUAGAACCAAACACUUGGUACUAUCGAUAGUAUCCCAAUCGGAUUAUAUAUAUAGAGAGAGAACUGGGCUGUUAUACUAUCUAUAGUACCAGAGUUUCAAUAUUAUAGUCUCGUUUUUUAUCUAAGUGUACGCAAAUCAAUGAUCCACAUAGUUAAAUAUAAUUUAGGGUAAAUAAAGUUUUUCAAAAUAAAAUUUUAAUUUUUUUCAACAUCGCUUACUUGAUAAGUAAAUUAUAUCAAAAUGAAUGGUAGAAAUUGAACAAUCAUUAAAAUUUGAAGAUAAGACUUUUAAUUCAAGAUCAAAAAUGCUGAUCUUAAUCUAUAUAGUUUAAAAUAUUUUCUAUCAAAAUUUGAAUAAAUUUAGAUUUUUCUGCACCGUUAAAAUACAAACUCCUCAUAGUAGCGAUUGAAAAUCAACGAUUUUGAAAUAAUUUAAUCAUAAAGUGAAUUAUGUCGAAAAAAUAUAAAAUUUUAUUUCUAAAAACUUAAAAUACUCUAAAUUAGUUUUAAUAGUGUGGAUCGUUAAUUUAAACAUCCAAAGAUCGAAAACGAGACUAUAGUACUGAAGUCUCUAUACUAUAAAUAUUAUAGUAACCUAGCUCUCUCUCUCUCUCUCUCUCUCUCUCUCUCUCUCUCUCUCUAUAUAUAUAUAUAUAUAUAUAUAGAGUUGGUCUGGGCUACUAUUAGUAGCAAAAUUCCAUUGUUGCUACUAAUUUUUUANAUAUUUCUGAAAAAAAAAAAAGAUUGGUUGAGGCAUAAAUAUUAUGGUGUCAGCUACUAUAAAGGAGACGACAUGAUGCAGUCAAUUUAACAUUAGAGUUUACGAAAAAAAUGUGACCUAGCCAAACUUAACAUUAGAGUUUAUGAAAAAAUGUGACCUAGCCAAACUGGACUAAGAAUCUCAUUGAGUUCAACAAUUUUUACAAAUAGAGUAGAAAAAAUUUUUAAAUGAUCAUAACUAUUCGCUUCAACAUCCGCUUUCAGCAUGCAAUCUCAAAUUGAAAAAUACUUUUCAAAAUCUAUGCGUCGAAAAAAAGGCCAUUAUGACUGAGUUUGGAUUCAAAUUUAAUUAACUGUUUAGACCUCUGUUUUUACAUUUCUAGAUUAUGUUUGAAAAGUUUUGUAUAUUUUCUAAUUUAAGUCUAACUAUUUGGUUAUUUCUGAUCAAUUUAAGUUUAAAAAUAUAUUAGAAUUUGUUAUCUUCGAUCACAGUAGAAUUCGAAUAUCGAUCUUAAUUAUAUAUAUGUGACAUUCUAUUAAUAUAAUUAGUAUUUUUCAGAGUUGAUUAAUAAUUUUUUUUUUGUCAAAUAAUUAUGUUUUUCGUGUCUCUCUUUCCGUCGAUACGCUUCGUCAUCUUAAUCACGCAACUUUUAGAUAUGCGUCACCACCUAAUGAAAAGGAAAAAAAAAAAAGUGUCGAGGAUCUCUGUACUAUUUCUAUACGAAAUUUAGUCCCAGAAUUUAGGUCUUGUUUGGUGUCAACGUAUAUAAAUAUUCUAUAAAAUGGUGGAGGAGUGGACUUUAAUAACUAGAUUCAUUGGAUUAAAAAUAUUUGCCAAACAAAAACUUAGUUAAUAAAUUUUCAGAUACAUUGCAUUUUACUUUCUGAACACAAUUUUUUUGUGAUAUACUUAAAUGAGUUAAUCAUUAUAUAUGGUAGAAUAGUAAAGCUUUUAUUGUAUAUUGAAAAAUAAAUUUGUUCAUGACAUGCAUGAACAUAACAAAACCUUAAUUUGCAUAAAUACAGUAUUUAGAUACAUGGAUAUCAUUUUAUGUCUAUUUUUAGUUAUUUAAAAACUUUAUAAUAUUUAGUAGAUGAGUGUGGUCAAAUUGCUAGAAAGGUUUAUUAUUUAAUUAUUUCGAUACAUGAAUAUCUAUGCUUGUAUUUGUUUUACUUAUUUAUGAACUUUAUAAUAUUUAGUAGAUGAAUAUGGUCAAAUUGUUAGAAAGGUAUAUUAUAUUAAGGUUUCGAAUCACUUGCUUGGAAUAAGAUAAAUCAUCUUACAGAUAAAAUUUAUUGUGCUACUAAAUUAUGGAUGUCAAGACCUUCUAGAAAGCUAAAAAUCAAACUCAUGGCUUGCUUUUUCAUAUACUAUUUUUCGACGUUGGAAUAAGCUACCUAAUAAUAAAUUAUUCAGUAUAAAAAAAUAUUUCUUUAUGAUUGAAAGUUAGAAGUUUGAAGUUUACUUGUUGAAAGAUAUUAACAUUCAUGAUUUGAGAGAAUAACAUACUUCACAUGCUAGUAAUUUAUCUCGAGCUAGAAAAAUAAUUUGGAGAUCGGAUAUGAUAUUCCAAUUUAGAUAUUUAAUCGCAUUUCCCAUUUUCCAAAUACUAGUGCCCUAUUUGGAUGCACGAGCAUUUUAUUCGGCAUAUCAUUAUCGAUUUACUCAAAAAACAUAUAAUAUUAGACAGAUGAUGAGUAUAAUUAAAUAGGCUAAAUUAUAGAAAACCCUCCUAUUCAUACCCGCUUUUUCACUUUCCCUCCCGUCAUUUAAAAAUCUACACUUUGCCCUCUUAUAAAAUAAAAAAUGUUUACUUCACUCUCUGCCGUUAGUGCUCCGUUAGGAUUCCGUUUAUAAAAUAUUAUUAUAUAUUUUUUAUACCAAAAAUACCCUCAACCUCCUUUCCUGCCGCCUUGCCCUCCUCCGCUGUCUCGCCCUUGCCCACAUCUCCGUCCACGCCCACAAACACCCCCUCGCCCUCCUCCGCCGCUUCGCCUUCGCCCUCGUUGCCCAUACCCACCUCUCUAUCCACGCCCAAUUCGAUUUCCUCCCUACUGUUGCCGGAAAGGAGGGGCGACAAGGAUGGAUGAGGAGAAGGGGAGCAGGUGGAGAAGAAAAUUGAGAGAACCGCUGCCGAUUGAGGCGCGAACUGCAGCCAAUCGAGACGGCGGAUGAGCGAGAUGAGAGAGGAGACGAAAAUUAUGAGAAGCAAAUUGGUCAUUUUGUCAUCACAAUUCACACCGUACGCCUCUGUGAAUAAUUUUUAUUUUAUAAGGGGCAAAGUAUAGGUUUUUAAAUGACAGGGAAAAAAUAAACAAGUGGAUAUUGACAGAAAAAUUUUAUGUAAUUUAGCCAAUUAAAUAUCUAGAAUAUACACUAUAUUUAGUCUUUAAGUUGAUUUUUGAAAUAAAAUAAAUCACAUCGUAAAAAAAAUAUAUUAUCCUACCAAUUAAUGGAUGUAAUGAUUUUUUUUAGCAGCAAAAAUCAAAUUCCUACAUAUUCCUACAUUCUAAUCACACAAAAAAAAUUAAACCGAAUAAGUUAUAUUCUGGCAUUCACGCAGAGACUAUAAACUUUCUAAGUAAAUAAAAAAAUAUAUAUUAAACAAAAUAUUCAUACAUAUUGUGACAUUCAAACAAGCCUAUAAAAAUAAGUAAAAAUGCAUAAAACUUAUGUAAACUUUUGGUCAUUUUGAAUUAGUUACCCAACCUUUCAAAAUUUGGUUUCACUAUCCAAUUUUUUAAUUAGUUUGAUUUGAAUGGCACUUUUAACUUCAAAAUUUAUGUUAAUUAUUAUUUAUUUUAAUGAAUAAAUAGUUACAAAAAUUAUAUGAAAUAUCCUAAUUAAACCUGCAAAAGUAAACAAAAAAAUUUAAAUUUUAAAGUCAAAGUGUCAUUGACCGACUCAAAGUAAAUAAAUUGAAAGAUUCAGGAAUAUUGGAGCCAUGGUGACGCCCACAGUGCCCUCACCCCUUCCCCUCAACUUUUAAAAAUUACAUAUAAGCCUUUUAUAGUAAAAAUUAAAAUAUUACAAAUUUUAGUUUUAGGAGGGGCCAAAUUAUUUUUUUUAUAUAAUAAAACGUUUGUCCCAAUCUUUUCCGAACUCCUCGACCUUUUUUCUUCGGCUUUUAUAGUCUUGCAUCUCCUUAAACCUAUUAUCGCUACAAUGGCUAGCAAUAGAUGGCCAGUAAAUCUGCCAACCUUUUUUUUCUUAUUUUUUUUCUACCAAACUUAAAUCCUUACAUUUUUUAACCUUAUAUAAUUUAUGCAGGGACAAAACCAUAGUUCAAUCAGGAGAGAGGCCAAAAUAUGUACAAAUAAAAAUUUUAACAGAUAAAUAAGAUUUUAGCUACUCAAAUUUUAAAUAAAAAAAAUUUAAUGAUUAGAUAAUUAAUGUUGAAAAAUAUUAAAUUUAUUUCUUUAAUUUACACUCGCUUAACUUCUAAUUAUUUUAUUGUAGUAUUCCAUUCAAAUAACUUAAAAAUUUUACUAAAUCUAAUAAUUUAGUUAGAAUUUUUUUUUCAAAUCUAAUAAUUUAGUUAGAAUUUAUUUUUUUAAAAUAUUUGUUAGUAAAAUAAUAACAAGCAAUGACUAAUAUCUAAGCUAUUAAAGUUAGCAUACUAUUUUAUUUAGUUAAAUAAAUUAGCUCAUCAAAAAUAAUUAGAAAAUUUAGAAUGUAUAAAUAAAAUAUUUAAAGUUGAAAGGACUUAUUUCAAAAUAUACUAUAAUUAAGAGGUUCGUAUAUUUUCAGCUAUAAAACACAUAAGAAGAGAGAGAGAGCUUUAUACUAGUACUAAAACCUGUUACGACAAGCGCACAAACGGAAACGAAAAUGACGAAAAAAAAUAAACAAACCACAAAAAAAAAAAAAAAAAAAAAAA